GAUGAACGCUGGCGGCGUGCCUAAUACAUGCAAGUCGAGCGAACAGACGAGGAGCUUGCUCCUCUGACGUUAGCGGCGGACGGGUGAGUAACACGUGGAUAACCUACCUAUAAGACUGGGAUAACUUCGUGAAACCGGAGCUAAUACCGGAUAAUAUAUUGAACCGCAUGGUUCAAUAGUGAAAGACGGUUUUGCUGUCACUUAUAGAUGGAUCCGCGCCGCAUUAGCUAGUUGGUAAGGUAACGGCUUACCAAGGCAACGAUGCGUAGCCGACCUGAGAGGGUGAUCGGCCACACUGGAACUGAGACACGGUCCAGACUCCUACGGGAGGCAGCAGUAGGGAAUCUUCCGCAAUGGGCGAAAGCCUGACGGAGCAACGCCGCGUGAGUGAUGAAGGUCUUCGGAUCGUAAAACUCUGUUAUUAGGGAAGAACAAAUGUGGAAGUAACUAUGCACGUCUUGACGGUACCUAAUCAGAAAGCCACGGCUAACUACGUG
rnacentral:rRNA from 1 species